CCUUAUUUUUCAAUAAGGAAUAGACUAUAUCUUAAGGUAAUAUUCUACCCCACAAUUGUAUAGUCGUUGAACCAUCAAUAUUUGAUUGGUAGCGAAUUAUCCAUAUAAUUGAAUUAUGACAUUUUAAUAACAAUAUUAAAUUUGUGCCAAUUAUAUUAAGGAUUUUUUCGCUGUUUAAUUGUAUUGCCUUUUGUAAGACUAGCAAUAAUUACUUUUAAUGGCAAUUUUUACCAUCUCUUG
rnacentral:ncRNA from 1 species